rnacentral:rRNA from 1 species
GUAGUCUCGCACAGAUGCAUAUCAAUAAGCGGAGGAAAAGAAACUAACAAGGAUUCCCCUAGUAACGGCGAGUGAAGCGGGAAGAGCUCAAAUUUGAAAUCUUAAAGGGUUUCCCUUUACGAAUUGUAGUUUAAAGAAGUGUUUUCUGUUGAGGUUUUGGUAAAAGUUCUUUGGAAUAGGACAGUCAUAGAGGGUGAGAAUCCCGUAUUUGACCUUUACUUUCAACUUUGUGAUACACUUUCAAAGAGUCGGAUUGUUUGGAAUGCAGUCCAAAAUGGGUGGUAAAUUUCAUCUAAAGCUAAAUAUUGGCGAGAGACCGAUAGCGAACAAGUACCGUGAGGGAAAGAUGAAAAGAACUUUGAAAAGAGAGUUAAACAGUACGUGAAAUUGUCAAAAGGGAAGCGUUUGACACCAGUGUUGUUUUUCUGAAAAUCAAUUAAAGAACUGUUUAUGCUAAGCUGUUUAGACUUUAUCAGCUAUCUGUUUAGUUUUGAGCUUUUCUUUAAUGCACUUUUCAGUUAACAAGUCAACAUCAAUUUCUUUUGCUGUAAAAAAGCUUGAGGAAGGUGGCUUGAGAUUCGUCUUAAGUGUUUAUAGCCUCUUGCCUAUGCAGUCGGAGAGAUUGAGGUCUGCAGCGUAGAUCCUUCGGGGCUAAAUGCAUUUGUGCUAAGUUAUAGCAUUUUAUAGACAACUUGUUGACUAUGAUUUGUCUUGUAGCUUACUCGCUUAUGUUAUUUUACCUACGCUUAGGAUGUUGACGCAUGAGAUAUACGC